CCACACCGGACUGAAUGCGCCCGAUCCCAUCUGAUCUCGGAAGCUAAACGGUCCCGGGCCCUGGUUGACCUGCCAGGGCUCAGAGAGACCAGGUCG
rnacentral:rRNA from 1 species